rnacentral:tRNA from 1 species
UUUGGUGCAGUAGGUAGCACGUCAGUCUCACAAGCUGAAGUCCCGAGUUCGAUCCUCAGAA